UAGUGUUUAAAAUAUGAUUUUAUGUUUUUAAUGAGAUUAAAGAGAGAGAAACUUGAGUAGUCAAGUAUUGGACCCAAAUGUCAUAUAAUUUUAAUUGAGGAUUUUUAUAAAAUUAAGAAAGUUUUGCUAAAGGGCUUAUUUGAAAAGAAUUUUAAUAUUUUGGGUCCAAGUGUAAUUUUAAAAAUAAUUUAAAAAAAAAAAAAAAAAAGAAAAGAAAAGAAAAGGCUUCAGCCUUUCUUUUUUUACCCGAGUCUCUCUCUCUCUCUUCAGAAAACCUCUCUCUCUCUCUCUCUCUCUCUCUCUCUCUCCUCUGCGUAUUACUGUUGCCGACGACGCAGGAGUACUUUCCGGCCACCAUUUUUAGCCACGCGCCGGACCGUUGGAUUCAGAGGCCUCCGAACUAUCGACCCACGCGGGAAUCUAGAGCUCACUCGCCGAUUAAACGCCUCAACCACUCGAUUUAAGUUCGGCCACCCCGCGACUUCAAAGUUGCGAUUCGGCCACCUCGGGCAUCCGUUUGCCGAUCCGUCACCACCAUCGUGCUCCUCGUGUUGUGGGCUUCAAAACCCAAUAACUUGUUCCUACAUCUACCAUAGUUGGGUGGUGGGCCCACCACGAGCCACCGCGAUCCACCGUAGACCGACGAUCGAAACUUAGUGUUCGAGGUUCCGAAGUACGUUUUGAGUCUCAGAAAAUCAUCGUUUGACUUAUUGUGGAACCCGAUCAUUUUGGAUUUGUAUGGAUUUGAUUGAUUGACUCUUGGUGAGGAAUUUUAAAAUAAGCUAAGGACCUAAGGUAAGUAAAUCUCACCUUUUGUGCUUAAGUGUAAGAUGCAUGACUACAUUGAUUGUGUACAUCUGAUGAGUUAAGUAUGGUAUGAUGAUGAUGCAUAUGAUAAGUAUGUGAAGAAUGGUUAUAUGAACACCAUAAGGGUGUUGUGUGAUAUGUAAUUGAUGAAUUCUGUGAUAUGUGAAAGAUGUCUUAUUUGGUUAAGAAUGAUAUGAAUUAUGUGCAAGUAUGUGUUCUUAUGUUGAUGGAUAUGUGGAUUACUCUAUGUUCAUGAUUUGUUAUAUGUUAUGAUAUAUGAAGCGUUUAAGUUUUUAGGCUGGAAACCUUAGACCUGAGCCAUAGCUCUACGUUAAGGUAUAACAACGCCACCAACCCAAAGCUUCAUGUAUUAUGACUAAAGAUGUUUUGAGUUAUAUGAGAUGUGAUACAAUGCCUUGAUUGAAUACCAUCAACAUGAGUCAUGAACACGAACAUUGGCAUUUCAGCAUCAGCAUGUAUGCAUGGCAUGUACAGUUAUGUGAUACAUUAUUAUGUGAUAUAAGACCAUGCAUAUGAAUAUAAGAAAAGUUAUGAAAUGUCUUGAAAAGUAUUAUGUAAAGUUAAACAUUUUAAUGACACAAGGCUUAAGCAAAGUGAUAAUAAGAUGUUUAAAACGGGUGCCACUGUUUUGAUGAAGCAAUCAAGUAAGUUCAGUAAAGAAGACGGAAGUCUAUAAGACUUAUAGUGGCUGCCCACUAGUGUGGGCUAGGUCAGAGUUGACCAUUCAGAUAUGUUUGCCAUGUUUCCGUCUUUCUCCUCCAUAUGUGUAAUAAGUAUGGCAGCUAUGGCAACGAUGAAAUGAGUGUUAUGAUGAGCCUAGCUGAGAUGAUGGCUAGCCGGAGGAGAACCCAUGGGAUUCUAUAUGAUAUGUGUAACAAGCCCUGCAGGCAUUGGCUGAAUCAAACAGUGUGCACAAGUGAUAUUGGGCCCAUAAAAAUGUGAAACUAAAAGAAAGAGCAUAAAAGUAAAGUUUGAAAGUGCAUGAGCAAUAAAUGAAAUUCAUAAGUAUAUAAGUCAGCAUAUUAGUAUAUGUGCACUACAAACUCACGACAUUCAUGUGUAUGUGUAUGCAUGAGAUUUGCUUACUGAGCGUUAGCUCAUUAUGUUAUUUUCCAACAUUUUUCCAGGUGUGGCUUUAGCUGUUGAGCAACUUGUGGAGCACGGACUCAGUAGCAAUGCAAUAAUGGUUUAGAGUUUUCAUAUGGCUGCCUUAAAUUUAAAGUAUUCAUACGUGUAAUAAUUUCUACUAAUAAGUUUAUAUAAAAGUUUUUAAUUUUUCUGUA